CAAGCGUUAUCCGGAAUGAUUGGGCGUAAAGCGUCCGCAGGUGGCAAUGUAAGUCUGCUGUCAAAGCGUCUGGCUCAACCAGAUAAAGGCAGUGGAAACUACAUAGCUAGAGUAAGGUAGGGGUAGAGGGAAUUCCUGGUGUAGCGGUGAAAUGCGUAGAGAUCAGGAAGAACACCGGUGGCGAAAGCGAUCUGCUGGACCUUAACUGACACUGAGGGACGAAAGCUAGGGGAGCGAAUGGG
rnacentral:rRNA from 1 species